AUUAGAAUUCCUGUUGUUCGUUAAGCUCUUACCAUGUGCUUUGCACACAUGGGUGUAUUUAAUCCUUACCUUCUGAGGAGCUGGUGCUAUGAGGGGAGGAAAGUGAGGCUCGAAGUCAUACAUCUGGAAGGUGGCAAAGUUAGGGGCUGGCCUCAGGUUUGUCUGGCUCCAAAACCCAUGUCCUUCAACACUGUGCUGUCCUGCUUCCCUCGGGGGUGAGUUCUUCAUCAAGCAGAUAAAAAAUUCAGUGAAGAAGCUGAGAUGAACCAGUCAUUCUGCUAGUGUUCAGUUACCACUGGCGUGUGAACUGAGCAGGAUGGGGUCUGGGGCGACCUCCUGGGUUUGGACGUGUCCUGUUAGCGACAGAGUGAUUGAGGGUUUCAUCUGCCAGGAGACGCUUCUCAGAGGUAAGGGACUGUUUUCCAGCUUCAGCAUGACAGAGCUGUCUGAGUUCUGCUUGCUCACACCCUGGAUACCUGUGGAGGAAGGAAGAACCUUGGAGAGGACUGGAGAUGGGAGUCAUCUUGCUUCCCAGACAGGCAGGGUCUCAGUGCUGCUGCUGGCAGUGCAUAUUGCCUGGUUCUUGCCUCAGGCAGCAGACUUUGCAUUUUAAGGUCUUUCCUAAAUACUGUCUAGACCCACAAGGAAACUCCUGGGUUGUCAUCUAAGAAAGAAAUUGGGUUUGAUUUUUACCCAAGUGCUUUUUGUCCCUUUGAUCAUUGCAGGUGGAGAAGACCAAGCUUUCUUCCUCCGAGGAGUUCCCUCAGACUCUGAGCCUUCCCAGAACAACAACUAUUUGCUCAGGACAUGAUGCUGAUACCGAAGAUGAUCCAUCCCUAGCAGAUUUGCCCCAGGCACUGGACCUCAGCCAGCAGCCUCACAGCUCAGGUCUCUCUUGCCUGUCACAGUGGAAGUCCGUGCUGAGCCCAGGUUCCGCAGCUCAGCCUUCCAGCUGCAGCAUCUCUGCUUCCUCCACAGGCAGCAGUCUCCAGGGUCACCAGGAGAGGGCGGAGCCUCGUGGUGGUUCUCUGGCCAAGGUCUCCUCCUCCCUGGAGCCGGUCGUCCCCCAGGAACCUUCCUCUGUGGUGGGGCUAGGACCUCGGCCCCAGUGGUCACCACAGCCUGUGUUCUCUGGGGGUGAUGCUUCUGGGCUAGGCAGGAGACGCCUCUCCUUCCAGGCUGAGUACUGGGCCUGUGUGCUGCCAGAUUCCCUGCCUCCAUCACCCGACCGCCACUCCCCUCUCUGGAACCCAAAUAAAGAGUAUGAAGAUCUGCUUGACUAUACUUACCCACUGAGGCCCGGGCCUCAGCUCCCAAAGCACCUUGAUAGCCGUGUGCCAGCUGACCCUGUCCUGCAGGACUCCGGGGUAGACCUGGAUAGCUUCUCUGUCUCUCCAGCAAGCACCCUCAAAUCACCUACUAAUGUCUCCCCCAACUGCCCACCAGCAGAGGCCACUGCCCUGCCAUUUUCUGGGCCCAGAGAGCCAAGCCUUAAGCAGUGGCCCUCCAGAGUACCCCAGAAACAGGGUGGCAUGGGCUUGGCAUCUUGGAGCCAACUUGCAUCUACCCCCAGAGCCCCAGGCAGUAGGGAUGCUCGUUGGGAGCGCAGAGAGCCAGCCCUGAGGGGUGCGAAGGACCGGCUGACUAUAGGCAAGCACCUUGAUAUGGGCUCUCCCCAGCUAAGGACACGGGACAGAGGGUGGCCCUCGCCCAGGCCAGAGAGGGAGAAGAGGACCAGCCAGAGUGCCCGGCGCCCUACCUGCACAGAGUCUAGGUGGAAAUCAGAAGAGGAAGUGGAAAGUGAUGACGAGUAUCUUGCCCUCCCCGCUCGGCUGACACAGGUUGGACCGGUGGCCAUUCUCAGACCCAGAUGUUGAAGGGCAGCUUCCCAGGAAAGGAGGAGAACAGGGAAAAGAAUCACUGGUGCAAUGUGUGAAGAGAAACAUGGACGUAUCUGGCUCCAAGAUGCUGAUUCUAGUUAGUAAUGGUGCUGAUCCAAGAAUUGGUUUCCAUGGCAGGCACGCCUCUUCUGGGCUGCUCCAUUCCUACCUGCAAGGCUGGGUUUUCUCAGCCUGUCAUUUUUGAUGUCACACCAGGCUGUGGUUUUCAUUGCUUUGGCAGAGGGAGGUACAGAGUCGUGGAGUCGGGACAGACAUUUUGCUGUCAGCUGGAAGAGCUGAUCUGCUGGCUGUAUAAUGUUGCAGAUGUUACUGACCACGGGACUGCAGCCAGGUCCAAUCUUACAAGUCUCAAGUCUUCUCUGCAGCUUUACCGGGUAAUAUGCGGUCCUGGCUCUGGCUUGUUCCCUCACAAGAGUGUGGCUAAAUUACUCGAUUACAAAGUAAAAUCUCAAAU
rnacentral:lncRNA from 10 species